rnacentral:rRNA from 1 species
UGUCAAUGCUCGUAAGAGUGAACUAGCUAACUGAAAUCUUAAAAUCAUUUAAUAAUGGUAUUUAAGAUAACGUAAGGGAAAAAAUUGAUAGUACCUUACUAUAAGUGUUGUCUAACAUUACUGGUGCCAGAAGACUCGGUAACGCCAGAAACGCAAACGUUAGUCGUCCUAAACAGGCGUAAAGGGUAAGUAGGCUGCUUUAACAGUUAUUAUUUAGAAAGCUCUUUAAAAUAUUUAAAGCAAUUAAUAAUGAAUUAAAGCUAGAAUCAAAUAGAGGAUAAUGAAUAUAAUGAAUUGAGUAAGAAUGAUAUCUUUAGAUACUUUUCAGAAUACUUAAGGUGAAAACUUUUAUCUACUAUUGAUUGACGCUGAGGGGCGAUGGUGAGAAUAGAAAACAGG